UACGGGGGGGGCAAGCGUUGUUCGGAAUUACUGGGCGUAAAGGGCUCGUAGGUGGCCAACUAAGUCAGACGUGAAAUCCCUCGGCUUAACCGGGGAACUGCGUCUGAUACUGGAUGGCUUGAGUUUGGGAGAGGGAUGCGGAAUUCCAGGUGUAGCGGUGAAAUGCGUAGAUAUCAGGAGGAACACCGGUGGCGAAGGCGGGUCUCUGGGCAGUAACUGACGCUGAGGAGCGAAAGCGUGGGGAGCGAACAGG
rnacentral:rRNA from 1 species